ACGCACGCUGGCGGCGUGCUUAACCCCUUCCAGUCGCACGGAAAGGCCCUGCUUUUGUGGGGUGCUCGAGUGGCGAACGGGUGAGUAACACGUGAGUAACCUGCCCUUGACUUUGGGAUAACUUCAGGAAACUGGGGCUAAUACCGGAUAGGAGCUCCUGCUGCAUGGUGGGGGUUGGAAAGUUUCGGCGGUUGGGGAUGGACUCGCGGCUUAUCAGCUUGUUGGUGGGGUAGUGGCUUACCAAGGCUUUGACGGGUAGCCGGCCUGAGAGGGUGACCGGCCACAUUGGGACUGAGAUACGGCCCAGACUCCUACGGGAGGCAGCAGUGGGGAAUAUUGCACAAUGGGCGGAAGCCUGAUGCAGCAACGCCGCGUGCGGGAUGACGGCCUUCGGGUUGUAAACCGCUUUCGCCUGUGACGAAGCGUGAGUGACGGUAAUGGGUAAAGAAGCACCGGCUAACUACGUG
rnacentral:rRNA from 1 species